rnacentral:rRNA from 1 species
UACGAAGGGGCUAGCGUUGCUCGGAAUCACUGGGCGUAAAGGGUGCGUAGGCGGGUCUUUAAGUCAGGGGUGAAAUCCUGGAGCUCAACUCCAGAACUGCCUUUGAUACUGAAGAUCUUGAGUUCGGGAGAGGUGAGUGGAACUGCGAGUGUAGAGGUGAAAUUCGUAGAUAUUCGCAAGAACACCAGUGGCGAAGGCGGCUCACUGGCCCGAUACUGACGCUGAUGUGCGAAAGCGUGGGGAGCAAACAGG